AUUGAACGCUGGCGGCAUGCCUUACACAUGCAAGUCGAACGGCAGCACGGGUGCUUGCCCCUGGUGGCGAGUGGCGAACGGGUGAGUAAUACAUCGGAACAUGUCCUGUAGUGGGGGAUAGCCCGGCGAAAGCCGGAUUAAUACCGCAUACGAUCUACGGAUGAAAGCGGGGGACCUUCGGGCCUCGCGCUAUAGGGUUGGCCGAUGGCUGAUUAGCUAGUUGGUGGGGUAAAGGCCUACCAAGGCGACGAUCAGUAGCUGGUCUGAGAGGACGACCGGCCACACUGGGACUGAGACACGGCCCAGACUCCUACGGGAGGCAGCAGUGGGGAAUUUUGGACAAUGGGCGAAAGCCUGAUCCAGCAAUGCCGCGUGUGUGAAGAAGGCCUUCGGGUUGUAAAGCACUUUUGUCCGGAAAGAAAUCCUUGGCCCUAAUACGGUCGGGGGAUGACGGUACCGGAAGAAUAAGCACCGGCUAACUACGUG
rnacentral:rRNA from 1 species